rnacentral:tRNA from 1 species
GUCACUUUAGCUUAAGGGUAAAGCAACAACAUUAUACUUGUGAAUGUAGGUUCGAUUCCUACAAGUGACA